CCUCUGCUUUGUGAUUUUGAUAGCUUUGCUUUUUUUUUUCUAACUGCCUGCUUGUGUAAACCAAUGUUGCUGUUUACUACUCGCGUCUGAGUGCCCUGCUUCUGAGUCCAAUUCCUGCUCCAGUGUUCUUCUGGUUUCCUCAGCAAAGUCUAUAAGGAAGUGAACUGAGGGGAGACGACUCCGAUGGUUACCAAAAGAACUCAGUUUGAAUUGAAACAUUUUCUGGCUGGAAACCUGAGUUUGGAAAGACCUGACUCUCCUGCACCAAAGUCCACCGAGAAAAUCAACGUGGGGACACAGGAACUGCUGGUCCACUGCUGUCUUGUUUUGGAGUGCCUCAGAAAUUCAUAUCCAUUGCUUAGAGCUGCGCUCUUUGUCACCAUUGUCACUAAAAGGGCUUUGAAAUGAAUUUCAAAAACAGUGGCCUUGGAGUCUGAAAUGGUGAAGAAAGGGGACAAAAAAUGAACGGGGAAUGUGAAUGAGGACGAUGAAGUGGAUGUCUUUAU